rnacentral:rRNA from 1 species
GAAUGAAAGGAUAAACGUUUUAUAUUCUUUCUUACUAAUAAAAAUUUAAAUUUAAUUAAAUAUAAAAAUAUAUUUAUUAAAAAGAAAGACGAUAAGACCCUAAGAACUUUAUUAUAAAUUUUACUGGGGAAGUAAAAUAAAUAAACUUUAUAAUUUUAAUAUACAAAAAAGCUAAAUUAAAGAUUAAUUUAUAGUUACCUUAGGGAUAACAGCAUAAUAUAUAUUUAUAGAUCAAAUUUAAAUAUAAUUUUAUGACCUCGAUGUUGAAUUAAAUAAACUUAUAUAAGUACAAAUAUAUAAAGUAAGUCUGUUCGACUUUUAAAUUUUUACAU